UACAGAGGUCCCGAGCGUUGUUCGGAUUCAUUGGGCGUAAAGGGUGCGUAGGCGGCGGGGAAAGUCUGAUGUGAAAUCCUGGGGCUCAACCCUGGAACUGCAUUGGAUACUUCCUUGCUAGAGUACUGGAGAGGAAACUGGAAUUUACGGUGUAGCAGUGAAAUGCGUAGAGAUCGUAAGGAAGACCAGUGGCGAAGGCGAGUUUCUGGACAGUUACUGACGCUGAGGAGCGAAAGCGUGGGGAGCGAACAGG
rnacentral:rRNA from 1 species